GAAAUGCGAUAAGUAAUGUGAAUUGCAGAAUUCAGUGAAUCAUCGAAUCUUUGAACGCACAUUGCGCCCGCCAGUAUUCUGGCGGGCAUGCCUGUCCGAGCGUCAUUGCAACCAUCAAGCUUUAGGCUUGUGUUGGGGUCCUGCGGCUGCCGCAGCCCCCUAAAUGCAGUGGCGGGCUCGCUGUCAUACCGAGCGCAGUAGAUAAUAUCUUCGCUCUGGGCGUGAUAGUUAGCUCCUGCCGUAAAACAAAACCAUAUUUCUAAGGUUGACCUCGGAUCAGGUAGGAAUACCCGCUGAACUUAA
rnacentral:misc_RNA from 1 species